rnacentral:rRNA from 1 species
AUUGAACGCUGGCGGCAUGCCUUACACAUGCAAGUCGAACGGCAGCACGGGAGCAAUCCUGGUGGCGAGUGGCGAACGGGUGAGUAAUAUAUCGGAACGUGCCCAGUCGUGGGGAUAACGUAGCGAAAGCUACGCUAAUACCGCAUACGAUCUAUGGAUGAGAGCGGGGGAUCGCAAGACCUCGCGCGAUUGGAGCGGCCGAUAUCAGAUUAGGUAGUUGGUGAGGUAAAGGCUCACCAAGCCGACGAUCUGUAGCUGGUCUGAGAGGACGACCAGCCACACUGGGACUGAGACACGGCCCAGACUCCUACGGGAGGCAGCAGUGGGGGAAUAUUGGACAAUGGGCGCAAGCCUGAUCCAGCAAUGCCGCGUGCAGGGAUGAAGGCCUUCGGUUGGUAACUAGCUUUGUUACGGUAACGGAAACGGUAGAG